GUUUGUAAAAAACAAAACAAAAUUAUAUUUUGUGAGCUUUGAGUUGGUGCUUAGAGAUUGAGUGCAUUGGAUUAUGUAUGUUAAGUUAAUUGGUCCCAACAGCACCCUUAUAAUAUAUGCAUGUUGAAAUUAGUGCAACCUUCUUGGUUUCACAUAUAUGUUUUGGGAGACCAUGCCAUCUCCCUGGAUUUUGCACUUCUCCUUGUCACAGAUGCCUCAUUCCUGGGUCCUAUUUAGCCUUGCAAUCCACACAGCUCCGCCAAGAUUGAUUCCCAAGUAAGUGGGAACACUUUACACAUUACUAUUCAUACAGAUAUUUCUUAUAUAGGGCUAUCAUGACAGCUCUGUAUAUGUAAUUCAUUUAUAUGUUGCAAUUUGUCCUUAUCUUCAUCCCAAUAGUGAAUACACUAUAUCAUAAUAGUUUUACCUACAAGAGAUACAUUGCUGGUCACUAAGUUGCUAACAUUUGCAUCUGGCUACUAGGUGCUGGACUGGCUCUUUGCACAGUCUGUACCUUGGGUAACAUAGGUUUAGAGCCUCAGUGCAGUUUUUCAGUCUUGCAUUAUCCAACUAUUGGCAUGAUUGAGCCCAAUGCCACACAUAUGGAUACAGGAAUGCUUAGUAUAUAGUGGUAUCUGCCGGUGGCACAACCCAUGGAGAGGCUGGUACCAUGGACAUUUUAUGUAUCCUCUAUCUGUUGUUGUCUCAGGUAUUCCGUUACCAGUUUAUCUUUUGGAGCCAUCUUUGUGAUGUACUUGUAGAUGCUCUGUGUUUCAUCAUCAGAACCUUCCUUUCGGCUGGUGUAAAGUCUCUGGGUGUUGGAUUUAAGGUUAACGCAUCCAUUCAUAGUGAGAAUUUUCUGGGUUUUGACAUGCAUGGACAGGCUACUAUUCCAGCUGGAUACCUGGUGACUGAUACACCAUAUACGUUAAUGAUUUGGCUCUUGUUCUUGACAUUAAGCUGGGAAUUUAGGAUCUGUCUUACUCUCUGUAGAAUCCCAUGUGACUGCUUGUUCUAGCAGUAGUUGGUAUGUUGUGAUCCUCUG